GUCAGGUCUGUCAAAGGUGAGGAAGGAGAAUUCCCUACAGUCUGUGUGGGUUUUGUGAGUGGAGGUCUUGUUGGGUCUGAGGCUGGGAGAGGUGUCAGGAGAGGAAGAAUCCUUGGGCCUUGGUGUGGCUGAAAAUGCAGCAACUUGAGAUCUUCUAGAGACCCAGGAGUAUGUUGCUUCUACCUCAGACUGGGGAGAGGGGAGCUCCCCAAAACGAUGGAGGAGAUGAAGAUAUCAACCAGCCAAAUUCCUGUUCACGACCAGCCUGUUGUGAGCUCUCCUGGGGGAUCAGCAGUGGCUGAGAGGUUGGAUGUGUGAUGGAGUAGGGUGGGUUUAUGGAGAGUGUUUGUUCCAGACAUGACACAGGGGAAGGGCUCACAGGGUUCAACCUGAUGAGCAGGUGCAAAAGAUAAGGCCCCUAUUAAGGCUAAUUUGCUGAGAUUUUCAUUUUAGCAAAAACAAAUGAUCAGUUUUUUGGAUGUCUCAAAUAUGUUUGAAAUUUAUGUGUAUUCUCUAUGGUUGGGCAUGAAUUUAUGAAUGUAUGUGUGUAUAAAUAAAUUUAAGUGUGUCCUUCAAAUAGUUUAUAUCAGGAAUCAGCAAAUUAUGGUCUUUAAGCCAAAUCCAGCUGGCCACCUGUUUCUGGAGGUUAGUGUUUAUUGGACACAGCCAUCAUCA
rnacentral:lncRNA from 1 species